rnacentral:rRNA from 1 species
AUUCGACGAUGAACACUUAGUGGGGAUUAGUGGCGAACGGGUGAGUAACACGUGGGCAAUCUGCCCUUCACUCUGGGACAAGCCCUGGAAACGGGGUCUAAUACCGGAUACGACCAUCAGGGGCAUCCCUUGGUGGUGGAAAGCUCCGGCGGUGAAGGAUGAGCCCGCGGCCUAUCAGCUUGUUGGUGAGGUAAUGGCUCACCAAGGCGACAACGGGUAGCCGGCCUGAGAGGGCGACCGGCCACACUGGGACUGAGACACGGCCCAGACUCCUACGGGAGGCAGCAGUGGGGAAUAUUGCACAAUGGGCGAAAGCCUGAUGCAGCGACGCCGCGUGAGGGAUGACGGCCUUCGGGUUGUAAACCUCUUUCAGCAGGGAAGAAGCGAAAGUGACGGUACCUGCAGAAGAAGCGCCGGCUAACUACGUGCCAGCAGCCGCGGUAAUACGUAGGGCGCAAGCGUUGUCCGGAAUUAUUGGGCGUAAAGAGCUCGUAGGCGGCUUGUCACGUCGAUUGUGAAAGCUCGGGGCUUAACCCCGAGUCUGCAGUCGAUACGGGCUAGCUAGAGUGUGGUAGGGGAGAUCGGAAUUCCUGGUGUAGCGGUGAAAUGCGCAGAUAUCACGAGGAACACCGGUGGCGAAAGCGGAUCUCUGGGGCAUUACUGACGCUGAGGAGCGAAAGCGUGGGGAGCGAACAGGAUUAUAUACCCUGGGAGUCCACGCCGUAUACGGUGUGAACUAUAUGUCGGGGACAUUCCAC